GUCAACACCCAAUUUCGUCCGGGAAAGUAAAUAAUCAUUAUUAAAGAAAAUAAUAAUCUUCCUCAAUGCAGGACACAUCACUUUAGAAUGUUUUUGAAAUAUUAGUUUAAUAUGGUAAUAAUUUGAAUUAUAUUGUCUGACAAUAAUUACAAUCUUUGUCAUUUAUUUGAUUGCAAUCAAGACCAUUUUUUCCCUAUUUUGUCCAUUGUCAAU
rnacentral:lncRNA from 1 species